ACCUGCGUCCUCAUGGAUGCUGGUCAGAUUCGUUUCUGCUGAGCCACUAAAGGAACUCCAUAUUUUCAUUUUAGAACUCUUUGCAGCUGAAGUAAAUGAUCCUUGGACUUAAUAAAGCAAACCUUUCCUUACAUUUUUAUUUCUACCCUUUCUUAAGAAUGUAAAACAAGGAUAAAAAAUUGCUGUGGGAGUUGCCGUUAUGGCUCAGGGGUUACAAGCCCGACUAGUAUCCAUGAGGACACAGGUUGGAUCCCUGGCCCUCGAUUAGUGCCUCCUUGGUUCAAAACGUUGGGCAUGGUUCAGCCCUUGACUGCCUGUGACCUUAGUUGACCUCCCUGGCUUUUCUUGGCUCUGUUUUGUAUUGAAAUUAGGGGAGUUUAACAACUUUAUCACUGUCCUGCUGUGGGCCAAGUAAUGAGUUGCCAAACGCUGAGGGUAAAGAAAUGAGAAGACAUAGUCUCAUGAAGAUCUUAACCUAGGAGGGAACAGGCUCCAAGCCAGAAUUUGCCAAGAUGAUGGCAGGUUUUCCUCUGAACUUCAUUGGGAAUCUUGUUAACAUGCAGAUUCUGAUUCCAUAGGCGAGAUUCUGUACACCCAGCAACCUCCCAAGUGAUGCCUAGCCCGAUCAUUCACAGACCUCAGUUUGAAAAGCAGGGGACAAAGGAUUAAAGACAAUCAGCUUUGCAUCCUCAGCGGUUGAGUCUGGCACUAGUUUGAUUACUGGAUGGAGAAGAUUCAGCUGUCAGUUGACUAGCUGAUACUUAAAAUUCAACAGGAGUUUCCCUGGCCCAGGCACAUCCUGCACCCUCACCACCCUGGGCAUCUGGAGCCAGUGCUGCUUUCAGCUUGGGAGACUUGCUUAGGGUAUGGGGCAGUUCCCUGGUAGUGGAGAGACAUCCUGCCCCAUCAACAUCGCUAAUUCAACCUUCAAAUGACUGAACGAGUUUUGCCCCAGAAGAGGUACAUCUCUGGCUGUGGAUACACCUGUGGACGCAGGGAAUAGGAGAACAGCCUGAGAACAACUUCUGUGCCUGGCCCAAGAGGACGUUUUUUGGGGGGGUGAGGGGCACAGCACAUGGAGGAGUUCCUGGGCUAGGGAUCAGAUCUGAGCUUCAGUUAUCACCUACGCUGUAGCUGCAGCAAUGCUGGAUCCUCUAACCCACUGUCCAGGCUUGUGUCCUUGUGCUUCAGAGACACCACUGAUCCCGUUGUGCCACAGUUGGAACUCCCCAAGAGGACUUUCUAAGUGCACUUCUGAAGGACUGUCCUUGGGCUGGGUUCACCUUUUAAACCAGGCAUCUCAAACCUGGCUCUUUGAACUUAAGGGUGGGGAUAGGGUGAGGCUGGUGUUAGCCACUCUGGCAUUUAAGGUUUUUUCCUCCUAGAUACAAAGAUUGGGUGGGUAAGCUCUCUAAUCAGAACUCUCUUUGCAGAUUAUUUGGUCUCCCUGACCUUGAUAGUCAUUCACGUUCUCUACUGUUCCAGCUUUUCCAGAGGAGUUGUUACUAAUAAAUUCAAAUGGAAAG